rnacentral:rRNA from 1 species
GACCAAAGAGGGGGACCUUCGGGCCUCUUGCCAUCUGAUGUGCCCAGAUGGGAUUAGCUAGUAGGUGGGGUAACGGCUCACCUAGGCGACGAUCCCUAGCUGGUCUGAGAGGAUGACCAGCCACACUGGAACUGAGACACGGUCCAGACUCCUACGGGAGGCAGCAGUGGGGAAUAUUGCACAAUGGGCGCAAGCCUGAUGCAGCCAUGCCGCGUGUAUGAAGAAGGCCUUCGGGUUGUAAAGUACUUUCAGCGGGGAGGAAGGUGUUGUGGUUAAUAACCACAGCAAUUGACGUUACCCGCAAAAUUAAGCACCGGCUAACUCCGUGCCAGCAGCCGCGGUAAUACGGAGGGUGCAAGCGUUAAUCGGAAUUACUGGGCGUAAAGCGCACGCAGGGCGGUCUGUCAAGUCGGAUGUGAAAUCCCCGGGCUCAACCUGGGGAACUGCCUUCGAAACUGGGUGGGUGGAGUCUUGUAUGGGGGGGUAAAAUCCCAGGUGUAGCGCUGAAAAUGCCUAAAAAAUCUGGAAGAAUACCGGGUG